CUCCUGGGCCAGGGCCCUUCCUCUCCCCCAGACCCCUAGAGCCUCCCCGCCGUGACUCUGCACACGGAGACCCUCCCUGUCCUCUGGGUACAUAUAUGCUCUGCUGGCGUGGUGUCCUGCAAUUUAAUGCCAUCCUGAAAGCCUCCUUCUGAAAGCUGUGCCUUAUCCCCAACACACAUCUCUUGGUCUUUGGAAUACCUACGCCAUGGUCCUUAAACCUGAUUGCUUAUAGAACCACCUGGGGAGUUUUUACUAUCCAUAUGUCUAGGCCAUGGCCAAAACCAACUGAAUCAGUAUCCCUUGGGUUGAACCUAGGGCUUCAUAUCUUUUGAAGCCCCCUCAGCGAUUCCAAAUGUGUAGGCAAGCUUUAGAGUCACUGGUCUAGCCCUGCUUGAAACCUCCCGGAUGGAACCAAGUGUGCCCUGCCUUGAGCCACAUCUGACCAUUUUAUACUCCCCACAUUAGAAAAUGAGCCACUUUAGGAUCAGGAACUGUGUUCAUUUCAUCUUUGUCUCCCUGCAAAUGCUUUUUUUAAAGUUGUACUCUGCCUCUCAUUAGUAACCAUUCCACUAAGAUCCUUUUCCAAUACUUUUCCUGUGGAUGGAAAUGUCAUGCCUCGGGAAGUUUUAACAAUUUCUUAGAUUUCACAUCAUUUUUAUUAAUUAAUUACUUUGACCAUCAUAAUUUAUUUAGCAGGUCAGGGAUUGGGUCCUGUCCCAUCUCAGAGAGCUUCUUUUCAUUGCGAAAGGUCACAAGGGUAGUGAAAGUAUAGAGGCAGAUGGAACCCAGCUCUCCUGACAAGCCCUUUCCUCCAAGACCAUCGUCCUUCGAAGACUUGAUAGGUGUGGCAGCUCCAGCAAACGGUCUCAUUCGAGUCGCAACCCCUCUCCCCCCAAAAAGACUUUUAAUACUAAUACUAAUAUGUUAGGUUUGUCUCACAGCAUUUAGAGAUGACUGCAAUGAGAGAUAAAGCCAACUACUCUUCGUGAGAGACCUCUCGCACUGCUGCUGGGUCCCGAAAGGAAACCGAAAGCAGCCUGCGCGGAUGCUUGCCUAACCCGAGGCGCGGCCCCGCUGCACCCUCAGAAGAUCAACCAACCCCUAACUCUGGUUUAAAGGAAAUAGAAGUUGUUCGUGGAUAUAAAAGCAGAAUAAAGGCUCUUAUGGGCAGGUUGGGACAGGAGUGAGCUGCAUUCAGGCUUCUGGUCCUCACACUGCUCGGCAAUUACAUCUGCAGGCUGCGAAAAUGCAGACCUGCUUGGGUCCGCGGAAAUUCCGAGUCGGUAGGUCUGACGAGAGAUGUGGAAUUCGAUUUAUUUUAAACCGCCCCUGGAUUGAUCCUGAGUUCGGAGCUGCUGCUUCCAGCCCACCCCGCUGCGGGGCCCACCGUUAGAUUCUAGGAUCUAAGUACACUUCUACAGCCUCGCGUCGCCCCCAGGAAGGAAAGCGCCCGCUGCGGAACUGGCCUUUAAAUCCGGUCCUUCCUGCCCGAAUGAAAAGCAGAGAUCCAGAAAACAAAAACAAAAAACCACCGAGGUUCUGCCACGUUCAGGGAGGAAACUACUUUAGACCCAGUGUGACUUCCUUCAAAGACUGGGGUGACUGCCUGAAAUGAUACGAUAACAGUGGAGCUGGGCAACGCUUCAUCAUUUACAAAACGCCCGGGUGAGCAUCGACUUGGGCGUCGGUACCAGACCGGUGGAGGUGAGUCAGGUGUGUUCGUGUGUUUGAAUAUGCAGGGGAUAAGCCCUAAAGGAGAGAGUGGAAAAAGCAGGGAGGAAGGGAAGGGGGAAAGGGUUGAAGAAAGGAAAAGAGAAGAAAAAGGGAGAAAAAAGCUACGGGGAAAUAAACUUUUAGCGAU